rnacentral:rRNA from 1 species
CCCUGCCAUUUGUACACACCGCCCGUCGCUCCUACCGAUUGAAUGGUCCGGUGAAAUCUUCGGAUUGCUGGGUAGGACUUCGCAAGUUGACCUAUCUGCGAGAAGUUGCUUGAACCUUAUCAUUUAGA